UUCAUUCCCACAUGCCCUUGGAUAACAGGGCAAUGUAACGGAGAUGUUUUUCUUGCCCUGUCAAAUACCUGACAGGGUGUUGUAAAGCUGGUUAAUUUGUAUGGGUGCUGUGCUUGGGAUGAAUGCUGUUACCUACAACAGAGUGAAUGGUCCUUUGCUCUUCUGUCAAAGGCCUCGGUGGGACAUUGGAGUCACCUUUUUAAAAGUUCCUAUGUGAUUUAGGAUUCCUUCACAUGGAGAUUUCUGAGACUUCUGCCAGCCGUGUACAUCCCUCCGUGGAGAUCCCGUGAAAACUCAUCUUCUACAUUUUCCCACUGAAAACUCAUCUUGGUUCAGGGAGCUGGGAGCUCCCAGCUAGCCCAUGGGAAUAUGGAGCUUUUGCUGCCCCGGUGUGGGCACUGUAACCUUACAGACAUCUCGUGCUGCAUCCUUGUAGGCAUUCAGAGACUAACAUGUUUGUUCUUGCUUUUGCAGACUGCUCUGACAAGGAGAGUCCCCCAGACAGCCAUCCCACCUUGUCCUCAUGUUGCUGCUGGCUCCUCAGGCACAUGCUGCCUUCCUGGGAGAAUGCUGCAGCUCCUUCCCAAGCCCCCACGUGCUGUGUCUGCACCUCCAGCCAGACCAUCUUGGCUAGUGUCUGGGCCUAACCUGCAGCUGUUGGCGCUGCCACAUGGAGCUGGAGCUGGAGCAGAGUCUCCAGGAGGACAGGGAGGUCACGUAGUACAACAAACUGUCAUGGAGCCAGGUCCCAGAUGGGAGAACAGCCAUAAACCAGAAAAUGUAAGUGAUUGA
rnacentral:lncRNA from 1 species